AGGAUGAGACUGCGUCUGAUUAGGUAGUUGGUGGGGUAACGGCCCACCAAGCCUAUCAUCAGUACGGGUUGUGGGAGCAAGAUCCCGGAGAUGGAUUCUGAGACAUGAAUCCGGGCCCUACGGGGCGCAGCAGGCGCGCAAACUUUACAAUGCGAGCAAUCGUGAUAAGGAAACCCUGAGUGCCUGUUGAUGCAGGCUGUUCAUUAGUUUAAAUUGCUGGUGAAGAAAGGGCAGGGCAAGACCGGUGCCAGCCGCCGCGGUAAUACCGGCUGCUCGAGUGAUGGCCACUAUUACUGGGUUUAAAGCGUCCGUAGCUUGAUUGUUAGGUCUCUUGGGAAAUCUUCAGGCUUAACCUUAAGGCGUCUAAGAGAUACCGGCAACCUUGGGACUGGGAGAGGUAAACCGUACUUCGGGGGUAGGAGUGAAAUCUUGUAAUCCUCGAGGGACGACCUAUGGCGAAGGCAGUUUACCAGAACAGCUUCGACAGUGAGGGACGAAAGCUGGGGGAGCAAACGGGAUUAGAUACCCCGGUAGUCCCAGCCGUAAACAAUGUGCGUUAGGUGUAUCGGCAACCACGCGUUACUGAUGCGCCGCAGAGAAAUCGUGAAACGCACCACCUGGGAAGUAUGGUCGCAAGGCUGAAACUUAAAGGAAUUGGCGGGGGAGCACCACAACAGGUGGAGCCUGCGGUUUAAUUGGAUU
rnacentral:rRNA from 1 species